CAAAUAUUGGACCUUUAUGUUGACCUAAGGUGCUUGCAAGGUUACCAUCUUCUGUCCAUAUUCUUGCAAAACCAUCAUAUGAGCCUGUAGCCAAUAGUGUUCCAUCACUAUUCCAGUCCAGUGAAGUCACAUCCUUAUUGCUGGGGACAUCAUGUCCUCCUUCUCUUAUACAGUGCCUCAAAACUAGUUGAGUGGAACCACUGUUGCUGUUCUCAUUGAGAUUCCAUAUUCUGGCUGUUGAGUCUCCAGACCCAGAUGCUAGCAGGUCACUGACAGGGUUCCAGGCACAGAUGAACACCUCUGAUUCAUGGCCCCGAAGGACUGUUGCUUUGUUAGGAGGAAUUUCAACAUCCCCGUCAAUUUCCAUUGGCUUUGAAUGAUUAUUUAUUGCAUGUGCCCCAUUCUCCUCUCCAUUCACAGUGGCUUCUCCGUUCUUUGGUGUGUUCUGCUGGGAAACAGCAGUCGUCGUUGUUCCCGCUGUUGCUGCCGUUGCUGCUGCUGCUGCUGCUGCACUGGCUUGUUGCUGAGCUAGCUUCUCUCUGAAUGCUUGCUGCCGGGUCUGUACAACAUCAGGCAUCACUGCGUCUAUCAGAGACAGUGACUCUAUUGGCCUGCCAUCAAAUACUGUACCAUCUUCGUUGAUGCUGAUCUCAGCCUCCACAUACUGGAGCCCUUUCUGGAGGAUGGAGAUGAGUGCAGCAGGUGGCACUAGUGUUCCGUUGAUGUUGGACUGACUGAUGUGGCUCUCGAUACCGAACGUGAAGGCCGAGUGGGAGAAACCUGAUUCCUGGAGAUAGCGAUACACCAAGAAAUUCACUUCGUCACUGGUUAUGCUCAUCUUAGCCCAACCUCAAUAUGAUGAGGUUUAUGAGAAGUGUGAUCCACGCUCUGGCCGUGAGACCCCUGAGCUGCUGAAUGCUGCUCCUCACAGGCUGCUGUCGGGAGUCUGGGGGUUGGAGUUAGCAUGGAGAUCACCACAUCUGACAGCGGAGAGGGCUGCGCGCGGGCGCUGCGGGCGCGGCUCCGCUCCGGGGGCGGCGGGAGAGCCUGGGGCGGACUUUCCCUCACUUGCCGCGCAUGGUGCAACUCCUGGUGCCGGGGUCCCGGCCAGCCCGCCAGCAGCCUGCGAACCCCCCGCGCCGCCGCCGCCGCGCACGCCUCCUCCUCCCCCUCGGCGCACACAAGGAAGUCCCGGAGAGUGGGAAGGGGAGAGCGGAAAGUUUUGGGGCGGAAUGGCGGCCGCGGGCGCGCGGCGGCGGCGGGAGCGGCGCUGAGGGGAGCGGGCCGCGCCCGGAGCCCGCCGCCGCCGCCACUGCCGGGCGGGAAGGACGGGGGCGGGCGGCGGGGCGAGGAGGGCCGGUGGGGGGGCGAGCGGCCGCGCCCCCGCCCCCGGCAGCGUGCGGGGCUGCCCUGCCCGCCGGCCGCCCUGGGGGAACCCCCGCGCCGCGCUCCCACGCGGAGCGCCGCUCCCACGCCGCGCACACGCGGAGGAAACCUCCCCUCCCCCCACCCCCUCGGCUCCCCGCCGCCGUGACCGGGCGAGCCUCGGCCCCGGGCGCUGCAGCCGCGGCCGGGAGGGCCGAUGGAGGGCCGCGGCCCUAAGCCGAGGGAAAGGUGUAAACGCGGGCCGGGGUGCGUGCGUGCACGGGAACGGGCGCGGGGCCGCUCCGCUGCGGGCACACACCCGCUGCGCCCGCGGAAUGAUGCAACGCGGCCGCCGCGCCGCGCCGUGCGGCCACCCCUCCCCCCGCAGCCGCCGCCGCCGGCGUUGUUUCCG
rnacentral:lncRNA from 1 species